rnacentral:rRNA from 1 species
CCUACGGGUGGCUGCAGUGAGGAAUAUUGGUCAAUGGGCACGAGCCUGAACCAGCCAAGUAGCGUGAAGGAUGACUGCCCUACGGGUUGUAAACUUCUUUUAUAAAGGAAUAAAGUGAGGCACGUGUGCCUUUUGUAUGUACUUUAUGAGUAAGGAUCGGCUAACUCCGUGCCAGCAGCCGCGGUAAUACGGAGGAUCCGAGCGUUAUCCGGAUUUAUUGGGUUUAAAGGGAGCGUAGAUGGGUUGUUAAGUAAGUUGUGAAAGUUUGCGGAUCAACCGUAAAAUUGCAAUUGAUACUGGCAGCCUUGAGUACAGUUGAGGUAGGCGGAAUUCGUGGUGUAGCGGUGAAAUUCUUAGAUAUCACGAAGAACUCCGAUUGCGAAGGCAGCUUACUAAACUGCCACUGACAUUGAUGCUCGAAAGUGUGGGUAUCAAACAGGAUUAGAUACCCCUGUAGUC